rnacentral:tRNA from 1 species
GGAGAUUUAGCUCAGUGGCACAGCGCCUGCCAGGAAAGUGUGAGGUCCUGAGUUCUAUUCCCAGAACCUUCC